GUUUGAUGCUUGAAAGCUUGAUGGUUUUUCUCCCCAUUUUUUUAUUUUUAUUUUAUUUUAAUUUAUUUUGCAAGGGUUCUAUGUUGACUGUAGAUCCCCACUUAUUUACUAUCCGUAAAUGCGCAAAAUUAUUGACUCCUGGGCAAAGGCAGGCUCUUGCCCAGAUUGGUUUGUGGGAGGUCUAUAGGAUCAGGCCUUUUAACUUGGAUUGUGCUUUGAUCUCUAAGUUAUGCCUUCGAUAUAGACCAGAGACUGGCUCGAUUCCCUUACAAUGCGGCGAACUUGCUCUAACUCUUGAGGAUGUUAUCCGGAUUCUUGGGGUUUAGAGUGAGGUGAGCCUUUUCUGAGUAUUACUCCAAAGUCGUUUGUUAGUUAUGCCUCUGAUUGUAAGGAAUUGCUUGGUAUUCCUUACGAAAAGAUCAAGGGCAUGAGUGAAUCAAAGAUCCAUCUUGGGAAGCUAAGGUGGGAAUUUACCCGUGUUCCCAUCUUUUAGAAGGGAUGACAGGUGGUCGUGCUCCUCACAUUUCGAUUUCCGCUGCUAGCAGGCCAUCCCAUAGAGGGAAGGCCCCUAUGGAGGAGGGCAGUGAGUCGAGGGGUCCUGGUGUGAGUGGGUCGGUUCAAGGCGAAUCUAGCCAUCGUCCAACUAGAGUGGCUGUCCGGGCUUUGGCAGAGUCGAGUGUCCGGUCAUCAGGUGAUCCAGAGGGAGUUGAGUGUGACUCUCCCAAGCUUGACGAUGUAGAUAUGGAUGCGGUACCUCCUCCAACGUUGCUUUCUGACGAGGAGUGGCGAGAGCAAGAGAGAGAGAGGAUUCGAGAUACGCAUGAGUGGGCCAUGAUCGAGGAUGAGCCAAAGGUGAUCCGACAAGAGGUGGAUUUGACCAUCGAUCAUGGGCCACUUUCAGACGGUGAGAGAUGUUCCUUGUGGGCUUUUCUCACAUAUUUGUUCAAUGAGUUUUUGUUUCCUGAUCGAUCCAAGGGUCGAGCUCAUUUAUCGAUGAUUUGGGCGAUCAGAAGGCUGGAUUAUCUUGAGCAAGUGGCCUGGGGUCCGGCGAUUGUGGGCUGGUUACACCAUCAUCUUUGUAGUGUCGCCAAGGGGGCCUGCUAUUCGGGGGAUUGUUCAAUUCUUCUCUAGGUUUGGGAGUGGGAACAUAUCACUUUUCCUCACCCACUUUCAAGUCGACCAGCACUGUCAUUUCCGACUAUUCAUCGCUGGUAAUAUGGAGUGUGGGAGACUGAGGAGAUCUUUUCGAGAAUGUAUUAUUCGUUGUUCUUGGAUACCCAAGCUGCCGGAGAGAUCGACUGGACUCCUAUGAGAGUCGACCCUAUCCCAUCAGUCUAUGUUGUGUCUUCUCGGACUUUCAGGAUAACGACCCAUUUGAUUAUAUGUUCUUGGUGAUGCCAUACUUUUCGGGUCAAGUACGUCGUCAGUUUGGCCUUCCUUAGUCUUUGUUAAAGAUUACCCCACCUUGGACUCCAAUUAUGAUCAGUACGGCUGAUGAGGAUGUCUACAUGAGAGAGAUGACUCCUUGGAUGGAGGAGUGGAGGGACAGGAUUGCUCAUGUUAUCGGUGAGGUGGAAGAGGGGAGCAUCUCCUUGUCUUUAUAUGAGGAGAAAUACAAGGUCGUUUUGAGGGAUGUGGCCGCCCUGACUAAUCAUGGUGAGGGAAUGAUGCGACAGCUGUGGACUGCCUAUCUUGGCAGGAAUCAAUUUUCUGGUGUGGAAGUCGCCUCACUUCAUGCUGACCGUGAUUCAGCGAUAGAGGAGCGAGAUUCGAUUGCAGAGGAUCUCGAGAGUCUUCACCACGACUUUGAGGGGAUGAGAGAGGUGAAGGACAUGGCAGAAAUGGAGCGAGAUACAAUCAGGGAUGAGCUGGAGAGAGUUCGGGCCGAGCUGGAGAGACUACGAUAGGUAUCGUCUUCUUCUGUUGUUGUUCCCACCCUUCUGGACCAUCUCCCGUCUUCAUUGUAAAUUUAGAGAGACGUCUAGAUCGCUACCGAUCAGAGAGGGAUCCAGCCAGAGAUGGAUGCCAUGAGCUUUUGGAAGAUGUGAAAGGUCUUAUAGACAAAAGUGGCAAAUUGUUGAGGCUUCUAUUGGCCAUGGGUGGUAACCCUUCUUUGGCUGACGCGAAUCCUUAUAUGAGGGUGCUGCUACCAUCUUCUACUCGGAAUCAGUCGCAAUCUCAGGCGUCUACUCGGAUGACGAGGAGUUAGAGGCAGGUACGACAGAGGUUGGAGAGAGAGGUGAGCACUCCUACACCAGUGGUUGAGGAGGAUUUGGGGUCCAGGAUGUGACCUUUCUUCUUUUUCCCUCUUCUUUCCUUCCUUUUUUUUUU